rnacentral:rRNA from 1 species
AGAGUUUGAUCCUGGCUCAGAAUCAACGCUGGCGGCGUGCCUAACACAUGCAAGUCGAACGAGAAAGUGGAGCAAUCCAUGAGUAGAGUGGCGUACGGGUGAGUAACACGUGACUAACCUUCCUUCGAGUGGGGAAUAACCUCGGGAAACCAGGGCUAAUACCGCAUAACAUCACCGGGUGAAACUCCCGAUGAUCAAAGGGGUAAGACGCUUGAAGAGGGGGUCGCGGCUGAUUAGUUAGUUGGCGGGGUAAUGGCCCACCAAGACGAUGAUCAGUAGCCGGCCUGAGAGGGCGCACGGCCACACUGGAACUGAAACACGGUCCAGACUCCUACGGGAGGCAGCAGUGGGGAAUUUUGCGCAAUGGGGGAAACCCUGACGCAGCAACGCCGCGUGGAGGAUUAAGUCCCUUGGGAUGUAAACUCCUUUCGACGGGGAAGAAACUGACGGACCCGAGAA